UUGGACCAACGCAAUAAGAAAUUGGUAUCCUUUUGUUUAUCGAGCCAAACCGGAGAGAGAAACAAACAUGACUCUCCCUUGUUCAAAAUCACUAGUGUUGAGCAUUGUUAAUGACGAAUUUCGAUUCAUCACUCUCUUUCUCUGUCGGUAUUGUUUUCAAUCCGAGAGUAAAACCCUCGCAAUCUUCCCUCUUAGAUCUAUCCACCAAGCUAUGAUCUACCUCUUGCCAAAAAAAAAAAAAGAAAAGAAAAAAGCCAGCUAAGAUCUACCCACUGAGGUAUCUCAAUCCAUUUCUGCAAAUCUGAUGGUACAUCAGUCACCGACACAUCUCCGUCUCCUCCAAAUCUAAUGCCACUGAGGAUUUGUUUUAGAUUUUUAUGGGUUGACUCUCCUCUGCAGCCGUCGAUCCGCAACUCUUUCUCUGUGGCUUCUCACAAUUGGGUCACCAAUUCAGUUCUCUCUAUAUAUAUGUUGCAAUACUAGUGGAGAUUGAGGUUGCUUUAAUUGAAAUUAAAAUUCUAAUAUGUUGUUCAUGUACUGUGGACUCGAGUACAGUUGCAGUGGCAAUUGAAACUCUUAAGAAUCUUGAUUGAUUAUCUGUUUGAUUAUCAGAUAUGAAAUUUCAGAAAUGGGUAUUGUUUCACCAAUCUCUUAAGUUCCAUUUUAAGUUGAACAUGAAUUCUCUGUAAUUCUUGUGGAUAAUUUUCAUUGCCUUAUAGUACUCUUAAUUAUGUCAUUCAUCUUCUCUUGAAUCUAUUAGAUUUUUUUGUGCCUUACUUGGACAUACAACUCUUGAAAUCAUUUUUAGUUCCUAUACAACAUCUGUUCUCAAACUAUUGAUAUGCUCCUUUAUUCAAUUGAUCGACCAACUUUCAUUAUAUUUUACAGUUCUUCUGAAAUCAAACUUGAAAUUUUUUUUGUCAGGUGGUGCUAUGACUUUUGUUAGAAGAAUUCUUCAACCCAGUAAUUUGCUUUCAUACUUAAGUACGAGCUGCUGAAGUUAUUGUGAUUCAAACUAUGAGAUGUGAAAAUGCUCGUUGGGACUUGCUGCUAAAUUUGGCUCAGCAAGUGUAGCUGUUCCAGGAUAUCAAGAAGGCGCUAUUAAGACAAUUGCACAUAAGGUUGCAGCAUAAAUGAGGCAAAGCUGGUAUACAAAAUAUUCUUAGGUUCUGUAUGCAUUAUUAUGUGGUUGCUAGAAGUUGGCAAUUGAUCUUACAUGUUUUACAGUUUGAUCCUUGGUACCAUAAUUAUUAGUGAAAUGCUCUUGUUUCUUUCAUGUGUAGAGAAAUCUAAAGUUGUAAUUGAAUGGUUUUAGGAAAUUUAUAAUUAUAUAUUUUGGGAUGA